rnacentral:rRNA from 1 species
UACAGAGGGGGCAAGCGUUGUUCGGAAUUACUGGGCGUAAAGGGCGCGUAGGCGGCCUGUUAAGUCGAACGUGAAAUCCCCGGGCUCAACCCGGGAACUGCGUCCGAUACUGGCAGGCUUGAAUUCGGGAGAGGGAUGCGGAAUUCCAGGUGUAGCGGUGAAAUGCGUAGAUAUCUGGAGGAACACCGGUGGCGAAGGCGGCAUCCUGGACCGGUAUUGACGCUGAGGCGCGAAAGCCAGGGGAGCAAACGGG